rnacentral:rRNA from 1 species
GAUGAACGCUAGCUACGGGCUUAACACAUGCAAGUCGAGGGGCAGCAUGGUCUUAGCUUGCUAAGGCUGAUGGCGACCGGCGCACGGGUGAGUAACACGUAUCCAACCUGCCGUCUACUCUUGGCCAGCCUUCUGAAAGGAAGAUUAAUCCAGGAUGGCAUCAUGAGUUCACAUGUCCGCAUGAUUAAAGGUAUUUUCCGGUAGACGAUGGGGAUGCGUUCCAUUAGAUAGUAGGCGGGGUAACGGCCCACCUAGUCAACGAUGGAUAGGGGUUCUGAGAGGAAGGUCCCCCACAUUGGAACUGAGACACGGUCCAAACUCCUACGGGAGGCAGCAGUGAGGAAUAUUGGUCAAUGGGCGAUGGCCUGAACCAGCCAAGUAGCGUGAAGGAUGACUGCCCUAUGGGUUGUAAACUUCUUUUAUAAAGGAAUAAAGUCGGGUAUGCAUACCCGUUUGCAUGUACUUUAUGAAUAAGGAUCGGCUAACUCCGUGCCAGCAGCCGCGGUAAUACGGAGGAUCCGAGCGUUAUCCGGAUUUAUUGGGUUUAAAGGGAGCGUAGAUGGAUGUUUAAGUCAGUUGUGAAAGUUUGCGGCUCAACCGUAAAAUUGCAGUUGAUACUGGAUGUCUUGAGUGCAGUUGAGGCAGGCGGAAUUCGUGGUGUAGCGGUGAAAUGCUUAGAUAUCACGAAGAACUCCGAUUGCGAAGGCAGCCUGCUAA